ensembl:lncRNA
AGAUAUUAGCUCAAUGACAGGAACAAGACUAAGUUUAUUGAACCAGUGGCAGGAUUAACACAAGGCAGUAUAGAUGAAAGUGAAAGUAAUUUUCCUGGCUUAAUAUAGAGCUGCUCUCAGAAGACAAGACAUUCCCUGAAAAACUUUCAGAAAAAGCUAUAGGGACAGUAAAAAUAAAUAGACAUAUUUAUUAUUUAUCAAUGGAUAAAGAGGAUCAGUUUGAAUUUAAGGCCACAGAGAUCCCUCAAAAGCCAUGCACAGACAUGCUGAAGGAGGCCUAUCUGAACCUGCUCUCUCUGCGCCUGGAAUUCCAGCGUGAACAGAGCACUCCGGAGGAAGGAGCUUUCCAAACGAAUCUGGUUAAUAAAGAGAAAGACCUCAGUCUGCUCUAUGGAGCACAAAAUGUUUGUUAUUGUACACAGCUCCAGUGCUCUGCCCUCACGCAAUAAAGAUCUGCUGGUGUAUGUAGCACACAUUAUCCUGGAGGAAGAGAAGAGGCAGGGAGAGCCAGGAGCGAUGCAGGGAUGGAGGGAAGCAUGGAGGGAUGCAGUACUAAACGGGGUUCAAGAUACACUGGAGAAAGUUCAUCUGGACAGCCAUGAGCAGAACGCUUCCUGGCUGGCAGUGCAUCUGGGGCUUCUGGGUAAAGCUGUGGAGGAGGAUUUAGAGAGAGUGAAGACUGAACAUCAGACUUUAUUGUGUUUGAAACCUAUGUGUCCUGCUAUCAUGAGGCUGUAGGAGAGCAUCUAAAGAGACUUCUGGAAAAGUGAUCUGAGAGUCCAUGAGAGUGCCCUUAUAAUGGCAGAGGACCGGAACAAAAUAAAAACUUCUUACUGUGAUUGCCAAUUGAGAUUCUCUUGGCCAUUCGGAUGCUUCGGGAACCAUCAGGAACUAUAAACAAUUGCAUUAUUUUAUGAGGCUACUUGUGCUAUUUGCCUCUAACCAUCCAUUAUUUUUUUAGCAAGAAUUUAACCAUUUAACUAUUAUUGUGCAGCCUUAUUUUGGUGUAUGUUUUGGUUGUUUGUACGUAUAUUUUCCAACAGAGGGAGACAUUAAACUAUAGAUGCAAAUUUCGCAUUUCCUCCAUAUUGCCUAAUCAUGCAUAAAGAGACUUGGUGGAUUCAGUCUAUCUACUGUUAUAUCAAUCAAUCAUCUAAAUGUGAAUUAUAAAACACAAUGCUGGACAAAACUGAGUGUGUGCUGUGCAAUAUUAACUCCAGGUGGACUCAGCUCUUGCAACAAAACCUAUUGGUUGGUUAUUCAUAUUUUGUCCCUCCCUCUUCUCUUGUUUAAUGCAAAUUUAAAAUUUUGCCUAAACCUAACAUUCUCUCUGAUUUUUAUCAAUGAACAAAACAUGUAGAUAAAAUUCAUUUUCACCGCUACAGUGUGUUAUUGAACAGAUAUUUACUUUUACAUACUUUCGCAAUGUUUUGGGGAUAUUUAUACAGAUAUUGAUGUGAGAUGCCAUCUUUGUUUACAUAAUCAUGUUUGAUUUUGUUUUAAUGACUUAACUAUAUGAGGUGGUGAAUUUAUUAAUGAAAUAAUUAUUAAACAUUUUACACAUUUCCACAUGCA